CCUACGGGUGGCAGCAGUGAGGAAUAUUGGUCAAUGGCCGUAAGGCUGAACCAGCCAAGUCGCGUGAAGGAAGAAGGAUCUAUGGUUUGUAAACUGCUUUUAUAGGGGAAUAAAGGUAUCCAGGUGUGGAUAUUUGCAUGUACCCUAUGAAUAAGCAGCGGCUAACUCCGUGCCCGCAGACGCGGUAAUACGGAGGAGGCGAGCGUUAUCCGGAUUUAUGGGGUUUAAAGGGUGCGUAGGUUUUUUUUUAGGUCAGCGGUGAAAGUUUGUGGCUCAACCCUAAAAUUGCCGUUGAAACUGGCAGCCUUGAGUGUGUUUGAGGUAGGCGGAAUGCGUGGUGUAGCGGU
rnacentral:rRNA from 1 species